GCUCCUAGUACGAGAGGACCGGAGUGGACGAAUCUCUGGUGUACCGGUUAUCACGCCAGUGGUAUUGCCGGGUAGCUAAAUUCGGAAGAGAUAACCGCUGAAAGCAUCUAAGCGGGAAACUCGCCUUGAGAUAAGAUUUCCCUGGGGAUUCAAUCCCCCUGAAGGGUCGUUCGAGACCAGGACGUUGAUAGGCUGGGUGUGGAAGCGCAGUAAUGCGUUAAGCUAACCAGUACUAAUUGCCCGUGAGGCUUGAUCCU
rnacentral:rRNA from 1 species